GACCUCUUACUGUAGAUAAUUUGUUAAAAAAAGAAUGGAUAGGCAACACGAAUUGUGUGCCGUGUGGGUCUGAUAUGGAAACAAUAGACCACCUUUUUUCUCAAUGUGUAUUCUUCAAAUUUCUUAUGGUGAUGUCAUUGGAGGAUGUCCGAGCAGGAGAUUUGGCCGAAGAUGUGCAUAUGGUUUGGGACAGACGGAGCGGAAGGAUGGGGUCUCAGUCCAUGAGCGAUAGUUUAUCUGGACUAAUUACCUGCUGGUGGGUUAUUUGGGAGACCAGAAAUUGUGUGAUCUUUAGGAGGAAUCAGACUGAUCCAACCCGUGGUUGCUAUAAGGUUAAACAGGUGACAUCCCUGUGAGGGAAACUUCGCCCUAUGGAGAGACACUGAUUUUUAUUUUUAUUUUUAUUUUUAUUUUUUUUCAUCUUU
rnacentral:lncRNA from 1 species